CAAUAGCAUAUAUUAACGUUGUUGCAGUUGAAAAGCUCGUAGUUGAACUUUUGGUAGGAGCGACCUGGCCUUGGGCGCAUGCCCUUGUUUGCCGUGUGUCGUAUCUGGCCAUCCUUUUCCGUUUCGGCGGGAAUCCUUUACUGUGAGUAAACUGGAGUGCUCAAAACAAGACGUUUGUUUGGUACAUUAAAGCAUGGAAUAAUAAGAUAGGACCCGGUUACUAUUUUGUUGGUUUGCAUAGCUAGGUAAUGAUUAACAGGGACAGUUGGGGGUAUUCGUAUUUAAUUGUCAGAGGUGAAAUUCUUGGAUUUAUGAAAGACGAACGACUGCGAAAGCAUUUACCAAGGAUGUUUUCAUUAA
rnacentral:rRNA from 1 species